rnacentral:rRNA from 1 species
GACGAACGCUGGCGGCGUGCUUAACACAUGCAAGUCGAACGGAAAGGCCCUGCUUUUGUGGGGUUCACGAGUGGCGAACGGGUGAGUAACACGUGAGUAACCUGCCCUUGACAUUGGGAUAACUUCAGGAAACUGGGGCUAAUACCGGAUAGGAGCUCCUGCUGCAUGGUGGGGGUUGGAAAGUUUCGGCGGUUGGGGAAGGAUUCGCGGCUUAUCAGCUAGUUGGUGGGGUAGUGGCUUACGAAGGCUUUGACGGGUAGCCGGCCUGGGAGGGUGACCGGCCACAUUGGUACUAAGAUACGGCCCAGUCUCCUACGGGAGGCAGCAGGGGGGAAUAUUGCGGAGUAGGCGGAAGCCAGUGGCAACGACGCCGCGUUCGUGAUGACGGCUUACGAGUUGUAAACCGCUUUGGCCUGUGACGAGGCGGGAGUGACGGUAAUUGAUAAAGAAGCACCGGCUAACUACGUG